GGGAUCAAGAUAUAAAUAUAUUUUUAUAUGAUAUUUCUUUGGUGCGACUGUCGAAAACAACCGCAUCGGUGCACUCUUUUGUUGGAUGCUAAUUGGUUGAUUAGUGUACGGAUGUGCAUGUUAAGGUAGUCAUGGUUGUAUUGUAUAACUUUUUAUGGGUUAUUUUCCUUAUUAUUAGGAUGUGUUAAUUGGGUCGACUUUUAGGGCGCUAAACUCACGAUUUCUUCGACGAAAUUUUAGGGUUAAAUUUUAGAUUUUAUGGUUUGUUUCUAAUGCAAAGCGUGAAGAAGUGGGUCAAGAGCAUGGGAAAGGGGUAGAAUGGCCUUUUGACCAAUCCAUUGAACUAGAGCCAGAGGGGAAGAAGGGUCUGGUCAUUCACGUUGGUAUGCUCUCUCUCUCUCUCUCUCUCUCUCCCCUAGUCUUCUCUCAAGGGUUUGGAAGACAAGGCUUAACUAUAUAUGGGCUUUAAUAUUAUCUUUUUUUUUUUUAAAUUCCCUUUUUAGGAAAGUAAAUAAAAGGCUACUUGUGAUGAUGAACAAAUCAAUCAUUAAAGCCAUUUUGAAAAGGAAAGAAAAAAAACAGGUGAAAACCCUCAGAUAUAUAAAAUAAAUGGAAUAAUCAUGUUUGUUAUUAUUGUCAAAGUCAUAUUUAAAAACAAAAAUGACAAUAAACAACAAGAACAAGAUUACCAAAAUAAAUACUGAUAUAUCUAUGUGUGUCAGUGUGUAUAACUGCCUGCCCAUAUGUUAACUUUUUGCUUGAAAAAUAUAAACCAAAAUGAUUUUACAAGUUGCAAUAAUCUUCUUUCUCUCCUAUUAAGUUCACCUCUAAAGAUUUUUUCUAAAACUCAGGCUAAUCAACCAACGCCCUUGCAUUCCUAAACAAUGUGCCUUGCCACCUUGUUAAACUACACCAAAAGCACUUUCUUACAUUACUGUUUUUAUCUUUUAGCUCACGAUUCAAUGGAUCUCAAACCAUUCAAUCAUAUCUUACUUCUAGAUAAGACAAUAAAAGUAUAACAAAACAAAAUACCUUGCUAGAUAAAAAACUUCACCACACAUAACCAACCCCAAGCUACGAUCAAAUGAAAACACACGAUCUCAGAAGCCAUAAUUCAAGCUUGUUUAUGAUCUAAAGACACAGUAGUAUAUCAAUAACAAUAGUCAAUUAAACAUGGUAACAAUUUAUACCAAAGCAACUUCUACGACAUUUAUCUUCACAAGAGAUCCCAGAUUUGAUAACUAUUUACGGAAAACACAUUCAUAAACAAUCAAGAUUUAUCCAAAUAUUGCAUGAUAUUGCUACUUCGUUUUUCAAAUACAGGUGUUUUAAAUUUUAAGGUUAUCCUAUACAACAAUAGAAAUUUGUUCUUCAAUCUUUGAGUGAAAAGGGAAAUUUCUUGUAAGAAAAGAUUUUGUUAUUCUCAUGGUAAUUUUAGCAAAGGUACUUCAAUCGGUGCUCCAGUUCAUGGUUUGUGUAACGACCCAAAAUUGCUAAUAGGGCUUGGUUAGCAUGUCGGGAGGACAUAAUUGGUUUAUAUGUGUGUUUAAUUGGUUAAAUGUGUGACUAUGUGGCAUGCAUGAUUAAUAUAACUAUGUGAGUAUAUUAUAUGCAUGUUUAUGAGUAUUAGCUAUGCAUGUGGGCCAUUUAUAGCUUAUAAGGGCAUAAUUGUAACUUUGGCCCGCUGAGGGCAUAAAUGUGAUUUUAUGUGAUAUAUGGUCGAAACCACAUUAUUAUGUGGAUAUAUUUGCAGAACAUGGCUCGAGACGAUCAUUGUGAGCGGAUUAGCGAAAUAGUCACAGCUGGGUUUAAUACCCGGCUCGGGGUGAGCCUAGGAUUAUUCUGGGAACUUGGAGAAUAUUUUGGGGUUUAUUGAGAAAUGACAAAGUAUUUGGUAAUUAGUUAGACAUGACGAGGUUAAUUGGUUAAAUGUAGGAACACUUGAGGAAUAACGGGAAUUGGGGAAAAGACUAAUUUACCCUUAGAGCAAAUUAAAUGGCUAAGUAAAUUCAAUGGGGCAAUUUUGUCAUUGUUUGAUCAAGGUUAAGAUUAGCUAAGGCCCUAGAAGUAGACAGAACUCACUAGACACAAAAGGAAGUCUCAAAUACUCUCUCCCUUUCUUUCUAUUCGAUUUCUUCCUCUCUCUUUUAUGUUUGGAGAAGUCUUGAGGAGCUAAAGCAUUGAACCAGGGAAAUUAGCUGGGAAAAACUUGGGAAUUUAGGCUCAAAGAAUGAAGAUUUAAAGUUGAGGGAUUCAACUACAAUCUGAGGUAAGAAUUCAAGUUAGUUUUUCUAGAAUUCUGCUGAAAUCAUGUUAAGGUUUAAGUUUGCAUGAGGCCUAGUUUUGUUAGCUGGUUUUGGAUUGAAUUUGAGAGUUUUAUAAGACUGUGAAUUUCUUAUAAGAUUAGGUAUGUUGGUUAAGUUGUGGGGAUAAGAAGUUUGGGUUUGGUUAUGAAUUUUGCUGAAAGAUUGGAUGAAAUUUUGAGGUUUUUGGCUAGGAAGGUUGAGAAGAAAACCAAAAAAUUAUGGAUACGUGGGGGCAUGCCGCGACCCAGCUCAUGGGCGCCGCGACCCGCAUGACCUGGGAGGGCUCUCUGUUUUGGGGGCGCGCCACGACCCUAGGGGGCAAGUCGUGGCCCGCCUCCCCCAGAUGCGUGGGGUUGUGUCUCUGUCUUGGGGGCGCUCCAUGACCCUUAGGGCCAGGUCGUGGUCUGCCUAGGGCCUAGGUUGGUUUUUGAGAUUAGUAAGGCUCGGGAGUUCGAACCUAAGCGCUUAGGACGAAUUCUACUACCUGGUUUGAUGGAAAUUGAAGUCCCGGUGGCUAGCUAAUGUUUCCUAAGUAUUUAUUUGGAUUUAUAAUUGAUGAUUACCCAUUUAUAUUGUGACUAGUAUUAUCGCCAAGGCUCAGGACUGAGGAUCAUGUUCGGAACCGUACUGUAUUCUUCGCUCGGGAUUCGAGGCAAAGGCAAAAGGAAGCUGGACCAGCCAUGAGUUGAAGAGCUCUAGGGGUGAGGUGUACAUUGUCAGCUGCUCAUCCAUCACGGUCGAUGGAAAGUACAGGGACAAAGCCUUAAAAUUUAUAUUUUGCCAUUAGAGUGACUUUUGGUUGUAUAAAACUUUUGAGAGUUGUAAAUUAUCACUUAUACCCUGUUUUUGGGAUCCCGUGUAUUAAAUAUCCAUUUUUAAUGAAAGUUAACUGUUUAUGUUCAAAA